UGUGAGGUGUUUGCACUCCUCGGCAGGCUUUAUUUGCUAACCGGGAGUCCCUUCAGGGGGUGAAGCCACUAAUGCAGCACAAAAAGACCUUUGCUCUCCCCACAAAAAGAUCUCUGCUCUCCCAAAACGCUUCUCACAGUUUAACUGCUCCGGCUGAGGGGGGCUUGGCAGAGGGCAGAGCGUGGGAGCAGCCUGAAAUGGGUCUGGUGUCCUGCACGGCUGCGUGUUCUGCAGCCCUCCGAGAGGAAGGAGGAAAAGGGGGUUGAGCAGAAGCUUGGCUGGAGCUGGCAUGUGCCCAUGGGCGGCUGCGAGCAUCCUGCCAGCCCGUCCGCCGCUAUUUUCUAGAAACAAAGUGUUUUGAGAAGAGGGAAAAGAUAAAUGGCUUCCUCACCUCUGUGGGUUGUUUUAAUCUGCAGUGACUGUAUUUCAUGAGUUUGUUGCUUUUAGGAGAAACUGAUUGUUGCUAUGGAAAUUGAAGCAGCUCUUUUCCCGGCUAUGUGUAUUUAGGUAGUCCAGGGCAGUGAUAAAAACCCAGUGCUGGAGUAGCAGCACAAUUGGCUCGGGCUCUGCUGAAGGUCAGUUUGUGCACUGAAGUGAGACACGGGGGCUCAGCUCCUCUGUGCGUGUUUAUGCGUGAGCACUAAUUACCCUCCUGUGCUUCCAGUGCCCCUCGCUCCAGAGCCGAUGAGCAGAAGUUAACUUCCAUGCGAAGUGUGAACAUCUGGAGACACUGAGCAUCUAGACACCAUCUGGCGCAGAUCACUUCAGCAGUGCUUGCAGUCAGCCGGCAAGGAGGAGGGGCAAAAGCAGUGGCACAGUGAAAACACCAGCUUGCCCGCAGCAGUAUGGGGUGCAGGGGCACAGGUCGUGCUGGGAGGCAAUGUGAGAGCUGAGGAACUCGGGGACAUGCCAGGAAUGGAUGGGCAUCAGGAACCUGGCUCUGCUGUGUCACGCUUCAGCAUCAUAACCAUCAGCAAUACCAUGAAGCAUCAGCCAAAGCCUAUUUUAAGAGAGGUACUGCAUUAUUUUUACAUCUAGACUUCAUAUACCUCUCCUAAGGACACUUCAAAGUCUUAUGUGUUCAUUAGAUCACAAAAAUUAACCAUUUCAGAGGGCUGUUUGACCUUUAAGCAUCUCUAUUGACCUCCAGGAGUCACUUGAGGCUGACUUGAGGCUACAUCGACAUAGUAGCUGAGCAGUGUUUUUCUUCAAUGCUUGUUAUUUUUAAAUUCUUCUAUGUCUUCCAUGCACAUGAGUCACUAAUGGAACCCUUCAUCAGCUGAAACUUAUCUCUGAAGGGUGCGGUGGCUUUGGUGACCCACCCAUGCUAACCAGAAGUGCAUGAGGCAGCUCUGGACCCCGGCAGCCGCUGGAAACCAGCCGGACGCAUUUGAGAAGCGAGCUGGGGUUUUGAGUGCCCUGCACGGGUUUGUUUCUGACUGAGCUCCUUGUCAUCCCUACAGGCCUUAUUCUGCGCAGCGGUAUGUGACACCGUGUUUAAAACAUUUACUCUUCAGAGUGGAAAUGCUUUUAUGGUAAAAAACAGACUCAGUGUUGCCCUGCUGCCAUGCUGUUUCUAACCGAAACCCCACAUGCCACCCGUUUCCCUCUGCCCCAUCCCUUCAGAUUUGAUUUACCCUGCUUUUUCUCUCACCAGCCUUGUCGGAAGUACCAGGAUGCCAAAGAAACCAGUGAUGCAGCGUGCAGAUGAAGUGCAGAAGCUUUGUUACAGAUGUUGGAAGGAUGUAUGUGGACCAAAAGCUUUGGAUGGUUCGGGAAGAAAAAAAAUAGUGAACAAUCUAAGAACAUUCUUGAUGGAGAGUGGACCAACGAGUACUCCCCUCAAAAAAACACAGGUGGAAGUAUUGCGAAGCGGACCCGGUGUCCCCGGCGUGCACACACGCACGCACACCCACCCGAGCACACGGCCGGCGCCGAGAGCACCCAAGGGACCAGAAGCAAAGGGGGGGCUGGCAGGCGAUGCGGGCAGAGCAGCCCCACCCGUCGGGGUCAGAUGCCCUGAUGAGCACCCGACUUGACUCUGCUGGGAGCAGCGGAGCUACUGAUGAGUGGGCAGCUUUGAGGGAGGGCAUCAACCACCCAGCGUGAGAUACCAACCAGGUUAAAAUCUGUGAAAUCGCCUGCAUGCAGGUGUGCAGCAGCAGCGCGGACCAGCUUGGACUGCCCCUGGAAGGGCGACUGCAGCCACAGCCCUGGAGUCACUAAGUUAAAAUCGGGUUUAUGUGCCGCAGCCUGAACUCGUUCAGGCUGCUGUGCGUGAGAAAACCUCCACGUGAAGCCAACAAACAUCGACUUAGUUGCGCUGGUGGACAUCUCAGCAACCUGUCUGUAUUCCAAAAGUGUCUGGAUUUCAUUUGGUGCGUGUCGCAGAGUGCCGUUCCUCUUGGAAGCACGCACAGGCAGCGGAUGAACUCAUGGGAACUGCAGUCACGCUGCUGUGGGAGCAGGCACCCCCCGAGGGAAGGGAUUUCAGACUGGCUGCACCAAACGCCUCUGGUAAGAAGAGAGCCAGGGCUAAGUGCCUGCUCCUGCUCCUCCAGGCACCUCAGGGCUGCUCAGAGCCUCCCGGAGCCCCUCACCCAUGGACAGGGCUGCACAAGGGGGGCUGUGCGUGCCUGUGCUCCACACGCUCCCUCUGUUUGACAAUAAUCAACUUGCCAUCAAGUUUCAAUUUUAAAUCACACCGCAAACAUCGCUGCUUCAUUCAGGCAUCCUCCAAAAAAACCACAUUGCAAACGCAGGCACAUGCGCAGCCAUCCCCGAGGCUGACGGAGCCCCUGCAGUCCGCAUCAAUUACUGUACAAACACAGAGCGAGCGGUACAAUGAGAGGCUAUGUGUGAGAUCUGAUUAAUGUAUUAGUAUCAAAUUUCAGAGGAAAACAUGGAUUAUUUAAGCCAAGACAUGUCCCAUUGCUGUGCUCAGCUUGCCCAUAACUGGGGGCUCCAGCCUGCCUGCAGCUCAAGUGUACUGUGCAUACAGCUCCAUGCCAAAAUUUUGCCCACCGCACACCCAGGUGACUCUGGGGGUCCAGGGAUUUGGGGGGACAAGGGCAUAAGCUGAUAGCAAUGGAGUGUGGCAGAGCACAAGGAGCAAGUCCUUUUGCCUUGAUGUUAGAAAAAGAACUGUUAUGUUUGCUCUUUGCUUGGGUACCUGUGAAAGCAAAAUCCAUCUGCAGGAGUGCAGAUAACUGGUGAGCAAGGCAAACGGUCUGAACGUGUCAGCUAAUUGGAAGGCAAAAUUCAUACUCAUUUUAACUGUGGGCAACCUGUGAAGACUCUGCCUGCCCUAUAGACUGCACCUGGCUGUAAGCCCACCUCUUUUUAUAAUUUGGUAGGAAAAAAACCGUACAACUCCGAUUUGAGCCUUUUUCCCCAAGGUCAAAAUUGUUCACUUAGCCAGCUAACUGUUCUGGCUUGGAGGGAGCCACAUAACCCGAGGGUACGGGGACAGCAGUGUGGCGGGAUGCCGACCUGCGCAUCCUUCCUCAAAUGGCAGCACAAGAUGGCUCUGAAGUGCUGUAAGCAAGCAUCGAUCAAAGAAAUUAUGUUUACCCACCGGCUAUUGCACUGUCGCUGUGUAAAUAUCAUCAGGGAUGGACCAAGGAAGAAUUAUUAGACUGAUAACCACUGUUCCCAUCUGAGAGCAGUGAUAUCCAGGUGAAAAACAGUUGUGAAGAAUAAUGAAGUGCUCCUGUCUCUUGUGCGGGUUUGUGGUUUUACAAAUCCCGUUACUAAAGGGCUUCUCUGCCGCAGCAAGCGCCGUGCGAGUGGACCAGCGGCUGCACCAUUUGCCCAAGCUGAAGGUCGCGGAGGUCCCGGGCAGCCAAAUGGCAUGUGUGCUCCUGUGCUGGUGAGGAAUCAAGAGAGGAAAUAAUAGCAAAAUGAUCUUAAUCCAAGUGGACCUAGUUAAGGGCUCACAAAAAUUCAAAUACAUCCCUUCAGUGAAGUGACACAGGUUUCGAAAAUACCUGUGUGACUUGGGAUCCUCAGGUUUGUGUUCAUUUAACCAGGAGUUAGGUACCCAGGUCCCUUUCACAGUCACUUCUUGUGUUCCACUUUAAAGUGAUUUAAAGGCUGAGAAGCUGCAGUUUCUUUCAAAGCCUGUAGGUUUUUGUAUGCCACAAUACCUCGGGGAAAAAAGAAAACCUUUAAGCAUCCUACAGCAACUGGCGAUGUUUCAAAAUUUGCCCACGCACUGAGAAGACACCUGGCCCGACAGCACGUGUAAGGCUGACAGGUAACUAAGGGACAACAGACCAGAGGGGAGAGGACUAGAGCUACCACAGGUGUCCCUUUCCAGAGAAUAAGAUAGGUGCUGUUUGGGCAAAAAGCAUCCUCCUGCCCCGCUCUGCUUCCCGGGGGGGCUGAGCCCUGCACGAGCCCGGCCCCAAGCCAGCACUCUCGGUAUUUCAUAUUUUCAUCCACAAUGAUUUUAUAAAGCAGUCGGACGCUAAAGAAUUCUAGCACAGUAGUUUGCCAUCAAGGAAACCGCAAGCAACAAACAAAGAUGUUAUCUCUAACAUAUGGUUCUUAUUUGAGGAAAUAUGUCUGGUUACAUUAAUUGACACAAUAUGGCUCGAGGCUGUUUUGUGUUUUAUAACUACUCGUGGGUUCCCUUAGCAACAGCAAAGCCCACGACAUGGAUCCAGAGCCAAAAACACAAGAGCAGGACCCACCACCCUUCCCCUCCGCCCCGUCUGUGUCCUCAGCAGCCAAGCACCGGUGCUGCCUGCAGACGCCAGCAGGCACUGACCUCGCAGCUGCGUUCUGCAGCUCUUCUUGGGCCGGCGGGUCCUGUCAGGAAAUGUGAUGCCCAUCCACCCUUUUCAACACCCCCCAAUACCUGAGAGCAGUUAAGCAGCUGUGCUCGGGGAUUCCCGGGAUAACUGUCCCGGGUGCCCAGCAGCCGCCUCUGCUUCAGCCCCUGCCUACAGGAUGCUGCGCAGCCCUCGGGCACGCUCAGGUACAGGCAGUAUGAGCGGGCAAGGUCCUGUCUUCAAGAGACUUUAGGAAGCUGCUGGGUUUUUGAAAGAUUGGCAAAAAAAAAGGGUUGGGUACCCAAAGGCAGCCAGGCAACUGGAGGGAGGAGCUGCUCCCAGCCGGGCACCAGCUCCUCAAGCCCUUCCCAAAUGCCAGUGCCGGGCGCUUCCAGCCACCUCAGCACAUGGUGCUCCGCAGCUGUAGGUGCUUCGUGAGCUUUGCAAACCUGCUGAGCACCCAUAGCACUGCAGGCAUUUCAGGGAGAGGUGGGUGCUAAAAUACCUUUCGGGAUCUGGGCUGAAAGCAACGAAUUCUUUUUCAUUUAAGUCCCAUCAGCUGGUAAGGGUGGGACCUCAGCUCCUGCGUGGACGUCCACCUCCACGGGUGGCUUUACAAGCACCACAGCCACCUUUCAGCAGUGCGGCAUCCCCCAGUAGCCCACUUUCCCAGGCCAACAUGUCUUCAGACCACGGCAUUGGCACCCGGCGCUACACGGGCAGGGUUACUCACAGGAUGCAUCUUGAGCUGUAGCUUUAAAAUGAGCACAGUUACACCCCAGAGCAGGGGUUGGAGGAGUAACUACAAUUAGUCAUGUUUGGAGACAUGGCUGUAGCACUUCAGUAUUGGAACAGAAAGUGGGAGCUGUGACAGACCCUUGGGCUUGGCUGGCUGCACUCAGAGCUUCUUAAUCCUCAUUUAGAUACCGAAACAGAGUGCCCUGAUUUUCAGAAGAGCCAAGCAGCCAUAGCUUCCACUGUCUGUAAUGAAUAUAUUUCCAAAACCCAGUUACUUCCAUGUGGGUACCUAAACGAGGGUCUGGGACCCUGCCUUUGGGCAUGCGACUCAACGAGUUCUGUUUUGCGUGUUGCAAACGAAGGGAGGGUUACUAGUAACUACUCUGGCGUUAAGGGAUGCCCUUCUCCAUAAGGAGAUUGGCCCGAAAGAGUACAGGGUGACACAGCGAUGGGGUGGGUGUUGGUAAAAUUCUGAGCAUAGAAAAGUAUGGCACAGCUGUUAAUAUGAUGCAAGCAAAGUAAGCGAUAUGAGCGACUCCAUGGCAACUAAGUGAAAGCAAAGGUAAACGGUGAGAAAGCAGCCUCUGGGCUUUCUCACCGAGGGAUCCAGGCUCAGCAAGUACCAAGACACUCACGGGGGAAGGGGGGGGAAGCAAGGCAGCGUGACAGCUGUCGCAUCUUACUCACCGUGGAGAGAAGGCAGGUUCCCAGGGCUCCCAGCCUUUCCAGUAGAAAUUUCUCUUUCCUCACCUUCCAACCCAAGCUGUAUGAAAUGAAAUGGUGCGAAGUGAGAAAAUUUGGAGAGUCUUCUAAGGAAAGGUGAUCCCCCCAGAAGCGUUCUCCUUUCUCAAGCCCCCAAGGGAACUACUUGGAAAAUACGCUGUUUUCCUCAAGCAGAUGCUUUCAGGUUACUUCUUACCUCAUCCUCACCUACAUUCCUGGGGAAGUAACGUGGACUUUCAGCCUUUGUAUUGAACGUCUUCACCUUGUGAGGUUAAACUAGGCUGCAGACUCUGAGCACCUCCUGGGCUCAAAGGUGUAGGAGUUUGUCAAGGAUAAUGCAGAGCGGGGGGAAAGCACCAGCACUACGCCGGCCAGCAAUGCACGUGAUCUGCAUGGUGGCAAGGGGUGUCACAACAGCUUCAUGACUUCUGCAUCACAUUUCCUCAUACAUUCCUCACCACGUUGCACCAGGAGGCUGGUAAAUGAUGCCAAGAUAUCCGAUUGCCCUUUAGGCUCUCCUUCCACAUGCAGAGACUUGUUAGAUACAAAGAUAAAGUCAGGUGGAAAGAGGAGAACAAACUCCUUCAUUUUAACUGGGGGAUGCGGUUUUCCUAGCACCAUCUUAUUAAACUAACACUUGUCCAGCCCUGGGACUGAAACAACGCGUAGCCAAGGUGAUGAGUCGUACAGCCUCCCUUGGCGCGGUGGGCUGGAGGCUGCCCAGCCACGGCCGGGUGGGUGAGCAAGCACCAGGGGUCCUUCCAAUGCCGAGCCGCUCGGCUGGGAGCCCCCUGUUGUCCCAGGGCUCAGCCCCCCAAGGGGCUGGAGACAAAGAGCACAAGAGCACAGGCAAAGGGGGACCCAGCGGGCAACUCGGCCUCAGGUUUACCAAGACAAUAAACCCCCCGUAUGUGGCAUAGAAGAGCAUUCAGGCCAUUGAACCAGGACACGUGUGUACGUCUGAGAACGUACCUUCUACUGCAGGAGAACUGGGUGAAAAUUAAAGUUAUUUAAUGCCAUACCAAAUCCUAGGAAGCCCGAUUUGCAAAGCGACCUGAUGUCAGGCUCCUUUCUUACGUGAGCUAGCAGGCAAUCAGCACCCCAGUGCUGGCACACAGAUGGGCUGAAGGCGGAGUUUGGGAGGCUCAGGGGAGCUCAGGUAGCGCCUGUACAACGAGGAAGGGGCGACGCUGGUGGUAGCAGAGGACCGGCAUCUUCCCUGCAUCCCAGCUGCCUACAGGGAAAGGGGGAGGGUGUGGAAAAGAAGGUGUGAUCGUUGCUGUCUGCAUUGGUUUACUCCUCGCUUAAUUAUGCUUUUGCAAGGCCAGAGAUGAUCUGUCGCCCCUAGAUGAGUUCCUUUAAAGCAAGUCCCCAGAGCAGGCUUUUGCUCUCCCCUGUUACUCACUGUGCUGGCUUUCCAGUUGCUUCUGUAGACUUCAUGCUUAUUACAUAAAACGUGGACUGUGCUGUGAUCAUGGUGCGAGGAUGCUCUGCAGAGCUUCUGCAUCACCCUGCCCAUCCCUGGAUCCCCACGUCUCCAUCACUGCAGCUGCUGUGCCUGCUGGGAGCCAGGCAAUACACCUACGGCUCUCCUGCCCGCAUGCAGCCCAUCGGGCAAGGGACGCUUUCCCUGUAAGAUCGGCGCACGGCACGUUUGUAACGCCCCUGCCCAAAGACAGCCAGAGGAAAGUCUUUCCAUGAAUUUCCAUGAAUACUAGCUCACAGAAAAGCCUGGUCUUCAGAAGCAACUCUUUAUCCUUUUGUUUUAUAGCACAGGAAUUAAAAAUCAAGACGCUCCCCAUAUACAGUUUUAGCAGAUUAAUUACUGCCUCCUUCUAGCUCCCGUAACUGCUUCCACCACCCUUGAAGGAGGUGCUGUUAUUAUUUUAAGAAGGAAUCUACAGAAACAAAACCCAUAAAAAGACAUCAGCAAAUAUAACGAAGUUAGCAAUCGCUGAUCUAUGAAAGCGCUGAGGCAAUGUUGCUACUUGCUUACACCCACAGCACCCGUAAAUCGCUCCGCACAGCUGACCUCUUCCUGGACCAUUCCCAGCUGCUGCCGCUGAUCCUUUUUUGGGUACUUCUCCCAAAACGCACAUGUGGUUCUUUGUUCAGAAUUUUACAAUGACCACUCAGUCCUGGUAACUUAAAACAAAUACUGCAGCUAGCGCAGUGCUUCCCAUGCACAGGGAACAGCUGGAUACAUGGGUGCUGGAAGGGGCUUCCCUCAAAGCCAGCGGCUGCUGGCAGCUGGUGCUCGGCGAGCAGGGGCAGGGGCAGCCCCGUCCACCGCCCCGUGGCAGCACCCUGCCGCCCAGCCCCAGCACCACCUGCGCUUUGUGCAGAAUAGCAGGAAUUUCCAAAAUACAGCGGGGGAUGACAUUUCACCUACAUUUUCAUUUUCUGCUGCUAAACUGCUUUUCACAUGACCUGGAUGUGGAAAAAAAUGUGAUCUCAUAAGUCAAGAGAGGGCAACCCACGUGUUAUUAAUGCUUUCAGCUGCUCUCUCCCAGGGACCUGUACACUGACAAGGCCGUUUGGGCAGGACGGAGAGCACGACCCACAGACCAACCCCAUCAGCUCUCGUGGUGGGUCUCAAGGGUUCUCUCCGAGCGCCUCCGUGACCACCAGAUUUCACCAAGAACUCUACCCGGAGGUCAGAGCAGCUACUUGCCAGCUCGGCGUUAUUCAUUGUAGUAAAGUGGUGGUAGGUCAAAAUAAAUCACUUGCUGUGUCACAUCAAUUGGGAGAUGGAAAAUGUCAUUUAGGUCAUACGGUUCAUCAGCUCCUGCCAGUAUGUUUUCCAUGGCUUUUUUUUCUGUCCCUUUGGAAUGACUCAAGCACAGGAGCCCCACCACUCCUCCCAGAGAUCUCCCACGGCUCACACAGCUCCGUGUGAGGACAUUCUCCUCUGCACAGCACCGAAACUUUCCUGGGCCAAAUGUCAUCCCAUAACUCCCGUUGUGGACCACCCUGAAUUAUUCCACCCUUUUGCUGAUGUUUCUCACCUUCAGUUUUCAUUCUGUGCUGGCCACCACAGCGUCUGAGUUCUGCCUCUGACCUGCAGAGACAUCCCACCAUAGAUGGACGAAGGCAGCGUGUUGCCUGCUGCUCGGAGAGGCGGCCACAAAGACACCUUGGGCAAACAAACCAUCUGCAGUCUGUGCCUCACGUAGACAAAUCCAGACAGCCUCUGAAAUAAUGAAACAACCUCUAAAUAAUUGAGACAACCUCUAAAUUAACAAACUAAAGCAACAGUAUGGCUGUUGUAGAGGAGUUCAAACACUUGAUGAUACCCACCUAAAUUUAGCAAGAAGAGAAUCAGCAGCCUGAACUGCUGUAAUUGAUGAGGAAACUGAGGGAAUGGUCUUCAUCACGCUUAGGAGGCUGGUGGCACUCGUGGCACAUAUUUCCUGGUUGUAUGUAAAUUAAGUGAAGAUGUCACCACACAUAACUUGCUUCCAGCUGCCCAGCGUAGUCACGCUGCAGAUGAGUGGGCUUCAUUUGAAAGUCUGACCUUUGUGAAACAGAGGUGUGGGUCAGGAUGCUGUGAAAAACAGCAGCACUCACAUAGCAGCUGGCUGCACGGCCCUGAAUGAGCAGUUUUACACAAAGAAACCGUCAGAAACUUGGCUUCAAAUUAUUUCUCCUCGGCAUAACAUCGCACUCUUCUCGCAGAAGGGGAGCACUGAGCCACAUGCCCAGAGGAAGCCUGAUCCAAGGCGCACUGCGGUUACGGGCUCCUGUGUGGUCCCAGUGAGCCCGGAGAAGUGCUGGGAUCAGGACUGAUGGUCUGUGCCUUGGAGAGACGAUCAGGGUUUGUUCCUUAGCGCCUGCAUGGAGGGGUGGGAGGCGUCACCCUGCGCCACAACCCUGGCAGCCUGGGCACGCCACGGCCGCAGCUGCAAAAGCCCCAUCACACCCUCUGAACACCUUCCUGCCACCUCCUAAAAAUUAAGGAGAACAAUUCUGCUGCAGCCUGCUUUAAAAAAAAGUUAACAAUUAUCUGUGAAUUUUUGGCAAGAGACUCCACCGGUAUUUUUCUGCAAAGCUGCGACUCCUUAACCGCAGUCAGGGAAGAAGCUGCAGGGCUGAGCAAGGACCGAAAUGAAGAAGCCAGAAAUGCCCCCCAGCCUCCUGUACCUUGGAAAUGCAAUUAUUUCCCUUUAUCCCUCAUCAAGCAACCUGACAGAAGGGGGUGACUUGUUAAAAACCUGCCUCGGAGCUGGCAGGGGGAUGCCAGCCCCCCGCCCGGCCCCCUGCCACGCUGCAUGGGGAGGGCUACCAGAUGCUUGGGCCACAAGUCACAUCCCCCUGCUGGUACCCUGAAAUGGCAACCAUCUCCCGUGCGCCUGUGCAUCCCUCUAACUCCAGCCCUGUCCCAGCAGCGCCCACAGCAGCGCCUGGGCAGGCACUGGGCUCUGCCCUGCAUCCUCCCCAGACCCUACAGAGACCAGUGGAAGUGUGUCUACGUGGGAGCUGGCAGACCUGCGGGGAGGGUGGGUCCCAGGGGGCAGAAGGUGGUGGCUCACAGCAGGGCAAUGGGGAGAGGAGGGAAGGAGACAGCAGUGCCCUGUUUGCAUUGACCCUCUACAACAGCACUGUGUGGAAGAAAAAGGAAAAAGAAAUGAUGCCAGCACAAGGCACAAGCUUCCCAGUUUCACUCCUCGGCCCCAGAUAACCCAGAGUCCCGCACCUCGCGGGUCUCCGUCUGAUGCCAGGUGCAUGCACAACCUGCUUAGGGCAGCGUAACCGUCAGGGUGAGUUUGCUUGGCUGACACAGAGAUGCCCACAUACAAAAUAUUUUAUCUGUAGCCAUAGCCACAGCGAGCCACACGACUGCAACAGCUCCUGUGUCAGCAGCAGAGAGCUGGGGGAGCCUCCACCCCAGCUCACCCACCAGCUGCUGGUGCCAGGGCUGGGGAAUUCCCCUGGGAUGAGGGAAAUGCGGAUCAAAUGGGGCAACAGGAGCGCUUCCCAACUCCCAGAAAAGCCUGGCGUGGGAUAGCCAAGCGACAUACCAGUGCUGGCGAACGAGUGCUCUCUGCUUCAUUUCUUCCUCACCGAGGGCAUGGAUGAGCGGUGACAUCUGCCCAAAGCACAUCCACUGCUGGCACCAGCCACGCUGCUGGGCGAAAUGCACGGGACAAGUCACCUCUCGGUGUGAGCUGAGCAGGCACUGCCACCAGGAUAGGGACUGAUCAGUGAUGCUUACAUUUUCCAAAGCUUUUUUUUUGGGGUCUCUUCAGCAUAGGGCGGAUGUGGUAAUCAGCUCUUUGCUCCCGAUUUUCAAGUUUAAUUUUUUUUUCCUUUUCCUUUUUUUCUCUUAAGAAAAAAAGAGAAAAAGAGAAAAAUAAAGAGAAAAAGAGAAAAAUAAAGAGAAAAAGAGAAAAAGAGAAAAAAGAAAAAAAAAGAAAAAAAAAAAGAAAAAAGAAAAAAACCAAGCAGGCAGCUGUAUUGCCACAGGCUAAACUCGCACAAAACCCCGACUGUGGUCCCACCAGCCAGGGUUCAGCCAGCCAGCCACAGAUGUAGUGAGGAUUUCCCUCCCAACUCAACCAAGGGAGAACACUGCGGGCUCCAAAAGUCCAGAUCAACCCUCUGUCUCUCAGCCGCGGGAGGAAGGCAGACACUCGGGCGUCAGGACCUGGGCUGCCCCUGCCUGCUGUUUAAAGCUUGAAUAACUGCCGGCCACCUCCUGCCACCAUACUGCAGAAGGGCACAGCACAUGACACAAGGCUCCCAUCACCACGCACGCCUACCAAACCAAACCAUAUCUCACUAUUAUUUUGUUUUAUUAUUUUUUCUUACUGUGUAUAUCACAUUAACAGAAGACAAAAAGGAAAGCUGAUUCUAGACCCUUCUCUUCAGGCGUGUGUACGCCUGGAGCCUGCCCCUGCCCUUCACCGGCAGCAACACCAGGCGCCCAGGGAUGGGGCGCUUGCACCGAACAGGGACAUUGCCGUGAUGCUGCGGCAUACCCAGCUCUUUCGUAGUACCCAGCCAUUACCCGGGAGGUGCCCCAGCCGAGGAGAAAACCUGCGGAAGCACCAGCAGGCAGAGCCAAGCUGGGUGUCCAGCACCCACCCAGCACCGGGCUGGCACCGCCAGGUCAGCAGUGUCCCUGCUGGCAUCCCAGUCUGGGCAGGUCUGGCACCGACACCUGCCCUGUCAAAUGCGUUUCCCACUCAAACAAGAUGUGGUUGUAUUUUGUGAAGAGCUAGCAGCUUGGACACAGUCGAAAUAUUGCUGCCGCUGCCCCUUGCUGGCUGUGCCUCCCUGAGGAGUGCCUGCCAGAGCGCAGCGCUUCUUGGCACAUUCCUGAAGGGCAUGUCCAGGGUUCUGCUUUCUGCAGCGGCAACCAAAAGUGGUGGGAGCCAUUUCUUUGAUUCUGUUUCCCAGGCUUUUCCGGCAAUAGUCUACCCCAACAGCUCCACCUUUUCUUACCUUUUCCAUAAAGAACGUUUUAUCAUUCCCAUGAUUUACUGUGCACAAACAACGCCAGGACCGCUGGAAGGAGGAGAAGGGGCACCGUGUUCCCGUGGCAGCUUUCUCUUGUCCCCCCCCAGGCGCAGCUCUUGGAGAGCAGGUACCUGGGUCAGCUUGUGAAAGAGAAGGACAAAUUUACCCACUUAGGUGCGCAAAAAAGCAGAACCGAGACGCUGCAGUUUCAGCGCACGCUGCUUGGCUGUACCUGCCACAAAUGCGGCAGGUAUGGGACAGACACAAAAUUAGGCUCUGAGAAGUAAUAUUUUGCACAUGAAAUCAAUUGCUGAAGUUAAAAAUAAAGAUCAUUUGAAAAUAACUAAUUAACACCAAUUGCAUCAACUUUGGAAAUGACUGCUAAGCAAGCUGCCUGAAGUCACCAAAGUGCCAGCAACAAGGUCAAAUACUACAGUGAACCACCGAACUGAAGAAGCAGCUAUCUCCAGAUUAUGCUUCUGCUCUGUUAUAGCAAAAAACCAGUUAUUCGGGUGCUUGCAUUUACACAGAGGUGGCAAAGGGCCUGGUAAACGAUGUAUUUUCCCCCUCCUGAGACUUGCGGAGGAUUCAUUUCAACAGCCAUCUGCUAACGACUACUCAGGGAUGCUCAGCUGAAGCCCGUAGAGAAAUACCUUGGAGGCAGCAAGCUGCUGACCUGUGGAGCGUGACGGGCUCGGCCACGCGCUGUGUGCUUCCCCGAGCGCACACCGGCUCCUGCAGAGGGCUGAUGCUGGCAGAGUGCAUCCCUCAGGACUCGGGGUGCUCCCACCCAUGGCUCGGGAAGGUAGCCUGCAGCAAAGCAGCUUCCACCGCGAUCUUGCUGAGCGAGGUCACCCUGAGCUCUUGGCUACUUUUCCUCUUCAGGCUCUUAAAAUCCUUGGGCUGUGCUGACAGAACACUGUGGCAUCGUAACACAGACGGCGUUCUGUGUCGGGGCCCCUCACCCCGGGAGCUGGAAUCGCGCACGCCCCAGCAAUGUGCGGUGGCUCACAGAGCCCUACCUGUGCCCCGCGUCAGGCAUUGCAGACCAGCCCUGUCCCAGCUGGUCACUAACCUCAAAGUUCCCUUUGGAACCCGCACCUCCUUGGGGCCCACCUCACGUCCCCCGGGCUUUUCACCACGUCUAAACUGAAGUUGGCCAGGGGUGUUAGCGUGGCAUCCUGGCUGAACGACAGCCCAAGCCAUAACCAGGACAAAGCCCAGCACUAACGCCCCAUUUCUCUCUGGGUUUGGUUUGGCUUUACAGCGGGUAUGAAAAAGGGCUGGACCUCAGGUCAUCUACAUGGUUGUUUGCACCUAGAGCAAACGGCUUCCAACACCAACCAUGAAGGGACCUCUUACAGACGUCUGCCUGCCGUGCCUGCUGACCCAACUGCUUAAUUGUCUUCUUUUAUACUUUGUCCAAAAGUUGUUUGCAUCAUUAAAGACCUUUUACACACUGCUGACUGCAGCUGUUUAUCCGCAGGUGCACAGCAAUUAACUUCUUAUUUAUACCGAAUCGUCCUUUAACUCUUACAUCAAAUGGAGUCAGAAGCUUUGAAGCAUUUCCAGCAGUAGCCGCAGCACCGGCACGAGGGCACGCGACUGCCGCCCUCACCACGCCGUGCCGGGCUCUGCGGCUUGUGCCACAGCCAGGGCGCACAAGGCACCGCGUCUCUCCUGGGACAGCUGCAGGCAAAAAGUGAAACUUACCCAGACUGCCAAACUGAAAUCCUGGAUGUUUCCACUUUCGGUUCGAAUUCCAGCUUCUUUUGGUUUGGCCAUAAUUGGAUUUUACCAUAAUUAAGUCACUAACUGAAUUCUAAACAAGAAAACAGAUAUUUAAUAUUCAGUAGUGGCAAAACAGGGGUUUUAUCCACUUGAAAAAAUAUUAAAUGCCUUUUUGGAAAUAGGAGUCUCCCCCCAACAAACUUUUCCUAUAAAUUUGGGUUUGAGGAACCAGCAAAGCCAGGUUUGAUGGGCUAGGGCGGCUCUGUGUCACCGCUUGUGUGGCCCUGGCAUUUAGGAAACAAUGGAUUUUUAGAAGGUAAAAUCUGCUUGCAGAGCAAGCCAGCAUCACUCCACACCCUAUUAAGGGAACAAGCAUGGGGUAACAGGAGAGUAAGGAAUAGAUGGCACUCACAGGGUGAUUUGGAACCGCUCUUUUAUUCUCUAGUACCUUAGGUUAUGACUCACACAAAAAGAUAACGGCUCACACUGAUUUUUGAAGAGGUGGUGCGGCACACAGUGACAUAUUCGGGUGCAAUUAGACAAGCUCCACAACCGAAAACGCUUCUGCG